AGUGGCGGACGGGUGAGUAACGCGUGGGUAACCUGCCUCAUACAGGGGAUAACAGUUAGAAAUGACUGCUAAUACCGCAUAAGACCACAGCACCGCAUGGUGCAGGGGUAAAAACUCCGGUGGUGUGAGAUGGACCCGCGUCUGAUUAGGUAGUUGGUGGGGUAACGGCCUACCAAGCCGACGAUCAGUAGCCGACCUGAGAGGGUGACCGGCCACAUUGGGACUGAGACACGGCCCAA
rnacentral:rRNA from 1 species